UAUUGAAAAAGAAGUCAGUCUAGCUAGAGUGUUGUUUAACUGUUAAAAUGUUAAUUAAAAUAGUUGCUAUUAUUGUAAUUAUUAGUUGUGCGAAAGCGGAAGAGAGCAAUGCGUUCUUGGAAUCAAUCUUGAAUGUGGACUCCAAGAAAGAAGCUGUACCAGAUAUUUUGAAUGAAGUGGAUAGCGGCGAUAUUGCUUCUGGAAAUAACGUAUCCCCAAUCGUCGAUGAAACGUUGAUACAGGGGAUAAAGAAGGCAAGCGAGGCCUUCAUGAAUAUUGUAAAUGAAGCCGAUAAGAAAUGGCGUGACUGGGUUAAACAUUACAAUUGCACCACGUCCUCCGGAAAUUUAAUCGGGUGUGUGACUAGUGUGAAAGCUCUUAAAAGCCUGUGUUCGUGGAAAGAGAAGACCAGUCAAGUGGAAAUCCCUACGGAGCCGCCAUCUGACGUCGACAAUGAAUUCAGUAAUGGCAAAUGGUCACAGAAAAUUACAAGUGAUUUGGAAAAAUGGUUUGCCGACUUGAAAAACUUGGUCUCCAAAGCUAAAGAAAUUAUUAACAACAAAAAAAUUGGAAUAGAGAAUCAAACAGACAUAGACAGUUUAUUCACUUACUAAAAGUAGGUACUUACGUAACGAAGCUACUGAAAGUAUAAACGUUUAUGUCAUUCGAUUUUAUUAUAAUAUCCUGAAAAGCGUUUGCCUAUCCUAGAUUUUUUACCUACUUAGGUACUAACACUAUAUUAUUAUUAUCAUAAAUUAUGUGCAUUUUUAAUAAAAAUAAAUAAUUUACACUUAU